GGGUUUCUGGCGUAAAGGUAGCGCUCUCGACUUUUAAUCGAGGAGGUCAGGGUUCAAGUCCCUGGGGACCCACUA
rnacentral:tRNA from 1 species